ensembl:lncRNA
UUCGCUGGGAAUUUCCCAUUCUCCACGUUCCGUAAGCUAGCUAACUGUACUGCCGUACUGAAUGUAUUUUGACAUUUGAUUUUAUUGGUGCAGAUGCUGUGUACCAAUUGUGAUAUUUGCAUGAACAGGAAUAAAAGAAUCAGUUGCAGUUGCAGUAUUCGUCAGUCCUAAGUUUGACCACCGUCACACUGGUGCCGUGACCUUGCGAUUCAAGAUCAGCUUGAUGCAGAUCGCCUGACCGAGGGUGCAGCGUGGUUUGGAGGAAUUCCGUGUUGGAACGUCAUUUGUGCUGGAGCUUGAUUAUGGUCAGGUACUCGGGACUGUCAAAGCAUCACUGACAAGAUAGGAUUUUGGUUAUUUUCACACUGUUUAUAUACACUGUAUAUGAAAUCUGUUAUUGAGUUUUAUUUUAUUUGUCUUUUAUUUUCUAUUUAUAUGUCCAUUUCUUUUCUAUUGUCUUGCCUAGAGGUAAAAUGGCUAGCAAGUUUCCAUGUGAUGAGUCUGAGCUUAGUCACUUCUCUUUCGGGAGGGGUAGAGGUGUAAUGGGGAUAAAUGUACAGCCCAGUAGGUCUGUUGGGAGGGAUGUGGGUGCUUCGCCUGUGUUGACUGCUAGAGAUAGGGACUUAAGAUCGAGUCAGGAUCUAGGUGAGUCACCUAUGGGGCAGGGGCCGCAGGAUGGGCCACACCACUCAACACCUAGUGGUGAAAAUACGACAUUACACCAGUUCAGUGAUAUGAUUUACCAGCUGGGCUCUCAGAUAGGUGAAUCAAUUGUAGCCUCACUCCUGUCUAGUGGUGCUAUUGGUGGCGCUAACCACAGUAGUGCUAAUUUACACAACGCAGAGUACCAGAACACUCAUACUGGCAAUAUGAAUACAUUGAAUGACAAUUCACACGUUAGAGUCGUUGUGAAAUCUGAUAAGGAACCUGUUAUAUUCAGGGGGGAUAAGACUGACAAAUACACGGUGACUGAAUGGGUUGAGUUGAUGAAAUCGUACCUCAACAAACAAAACUAUGGUGUCCAGUCACAGAUAGAGGUGGUAAUGGGG